GACGAACGCCGGCGGCGUGCUUAACACAUGCAAGUCGAGCGGUAAGGCCCUUUCGGGGGUACACGAGCGGCGAACGGGUGAGUAACACGUGGGUGACCUGCCCUCAGCUCUGGGAUAAGCCUGGGAAACUGGGUCUAAUACCGGAUAUGACCCCAUGACGCAUGUCGUGGGGUGGAAAGCCUUGUGCGGCUGAGGAUGGGCCCGCGGCCUAUCAGCUUGUUGGUGGGGUGAUGGCCACCAAGGCGACGACGGGUAGCCGGCCUGAGAGGGCGACCGGCCACACUGGGACUGAGACACGGCCCAGGACUCCUACGGGAGGCAGCAGUGGGGAAUCUUGCGCAAUGGGCGAAAGCCUGACGCAGCGACGCCGCGUGAGGGAUGACGGCCUCGGUGUAACGUACUUC
rnacentral:rRNA from 1 species